AUGGAGGCCGCCAUCUUGAGCGGCUCCAUCAAAAUUAUGCUGCCGAAGCUCUUGUCGCUGGUUGAGAAGAGUUGGAAUCUGAGCAAGGACAUCAUGAGGGACAUCAAAUUCCUCGAGAAGGAGCUCGGCAUGAUUGUCCGUUCCAUCGACAUGGAGCUCAACGCUCCGAGACAGGAUCAUGGAGCAGCCCUGCUGCUCCUGUCGAUCGAAGAUCUGCGCGAGCUGGCUCACGGGAUAGAGGACUGCAUCGACAGCCUCAUGUAUCGCGCGAGCUGGAAGCAGCAGUCUUCUCUGUUCCGCCGGCGCGUACAGUCCCCCAAGACGCUCCUCACUGGGCUGCAGUUUGCCCAUAAGCUUCAGAGGAUGAAGCAGAUGGUGGUGGAGGCGCACGACCGGAGGCAGAGGUACCCCGUCCCCGCCCAGACCUCCGGUGAUGUCCCGUCGCCCUCCUCUGCUUCGGAUCCGCGCCUCGUGGACGCGGAUCUCGUCGGCGUCGAUGAGCACCGGGCGAAGCUCCUGGAGCAGCUGGCGGAAGCGGCCGAGGGGCAGCCGAUGCAGCUCAAGGUGGUCUCUAUCGUAGGGUGCUGGGGGUUGGGGAAGACCGCUCUUGCCGCCGAUGUGUACAAAACACAAGCCGGCGGCGAGAGGUUCGACAAGCGCGCGUGGGUCUGUGCCGCGCUCAAGAGCCCAGGGGAGGUGCUGGCCGACAUGCUCCGGGAAUUCGGAUCUGAUUGCCAGGAAAGUGUGAUGCUGGACACCUCCAAUGUCUCCCAGAUGUGCGUACAAGUCAGAAAUCAGUUGGCCAAGAAGAGAUAUUUCAUUGUAAUCGAUGACAUUCAGACGCAAGUUCAGUGGAAAAAAAAUCAAAUCAGCUUUCCCAGAUGA
rnacentral:rRNA from 1 species